rnacentral:rRNA from 1 species
GUCUACGCCCAUACCACCCUGAAAGCGCCUGAUCUCAUCUGAUCUCAGAAGCUAAGCAGGGUUGGGCCAGGUUAGUACUUGGAUGGGAGAAAAUGGUCUUGUUCCAGGUC